rnacentral:rRNA from 1 species
GACGAAGGGGGCUAGCGUUGUUCGGAAUUAUUGGGCGUAAAGAGCUCGUAGGCGGUUUGUCGCGUCUGCUGUGAAAACCCGAGGCUCAACCUCGGGCCUGCAGUGGGUACGGGCAGACUAGAGUGCGGUAGGGGAGAUUGGAAUUCCUGGUGUAGCGGUGGAAUGCGCAGAUAUCAGGAGGAACACCGAUGGCGAAGGCAGAUCUCUGGGCCGUAACUGACGCUGAGGAGCGAAAAGCAUGGGGGAGCGAACAGG